UUUUUAAAAAAUAGCAGCAAGAAAAGGGAAGGAAAUCAGAUCAGCUGAAUCUCUACAGCAGACAGCAGAAACUACAGCUAACACCAGCAACACGAUGUGCAGUUUUGUGUCUUACAUUGUAUUUAUGAUGUUAUGCAAAGUGAAGAUCAUGAACUCCAGACUCUUUCCACUUAUCCUGCUGCUGCAUAUCCCAGGCUCUCUAACACUGGAACAUCACCCUGUGAGCUGUGAUGAAUACAGUAUCUGUGCUGUGAAGGGAUCUGAUGUGACAUUUACAUGCUAUUACAACAAAAUCAACAUCAAAACUGUGUUCUGGUUCAGUCAGAUACAAAAUAUUAAUUGGAGAAAAAAUGAUGAAGCUGAAGAUUUGACAUUAGACUCCGACUACUCAGGAAGGGUGAAACAGCAAAUCUCAAAAGCUUAUUUAGCAGACACACGGACACUCACAAUAUCAGAUGUGAGAGAGCGAGACUCUGGGGAAUAUCAGCUCAUGUUCAUCAUGAAAGAUGGAGAUAAACAUCUCGCCUCAGUCUCCAUCAAUCUAACAG